AGAGUUUGAUCCUGGCUCAGGACGAACGCUGGCGGCGUGCUUAACACAUGCAAGUCGAACGAGGCGCUUGCGCCUAGUGGCGAACGGGUGAGUAACACGUGAGCAACCUGCCCCUGGCUCUGGGAUAGCCUCCGGAAACGGGGAUUAAUACCGGACAUGACCUUCUUCCGCAUGGUUGAGGGUGGAAAGUUUUUCGGCCA
rnacentral:rRNA from 1 species